rnacentral:lncRNA from 1 species
AUAUUUUUUUAUUUAAAAACCAAAAUUGGUUUCUUUUGUUCCAGCCAAAGAAGACUGUAGAAAGGAAGUCCCGUGGCAAGAUAAAAUGAACAUGGACCAGUAAAACAGAACCAGUGGAGUAGAAUAUCUGAUGGAUUUACCUUGCACAUAAGGACUGUCCUACCGAGAUCAGUGAGGUGUACCACUCAUGGCCUGCUUUUUUCAGAAUCUUCUCCCAUUUGCCUUCAGACUGUGGUUUUUGUUUUGUUUGGGGCUUUUUGUUUUGUUUGGUUGUUUUUUUGUUUUUUUGUGAGCACACUUAAACCUGUAACAAUAAAAGCACUUUUCUGAUAUGGUGAACACUUUCACUGAUGAUGAUGUAGUACUGUGUUACAUUUAUACAACUGUUUCUACAGUUUAAACUGAAAUUAAAGCAAAAUCUGGCCUAUGUUGAAACUGCUAUUCUGUC